rnacentral:lncRNA from 1 species
CUUCCUCGAGAUCUCCCCUGAUCCAUCCACCGAACCCCCUCCUUGUUUUCACCAUCCAACCAACCAACGAGCACACAAAACCAUUCCACUUAUUUCUUCUCACGUCCUAGACGCAUCCAUGCGCUUGCAGACGGAUUCAUCCACGCGACCACGGGAGAAGGAGCUCUCGUAGCCAUGCCAUCGCCGGGAUUCACGUCCUUGUGCCUCCCACGAUGUUGCCUCGUCUCUGAGUGCCCCUCCUCCAUGUUCUUCACAAAGUAGUGGAGCUCCUAUGCGUGUGAGCCUCUCCCGCUCAAGGGCCUCUAUGCCAUCUUUGACGGACCAGCAGUAAGGGCAACAACCGUGUUUGAAUCCAUGGAGCCCCGCUCGACCCUCCGCUGAGACAUCCUACAAGCGGCCUCCUGUCUCGUGCACCAUGCUCGAGGAGCAACGCACCCGAGCCCCUCACAGGUGCCCUCCAUGGUCGCUGCCACCAUGGACCUUGCCUAGCCAUCGCGACCUCUGGGCUAAUCAUCGCCGCCGCAAGCCAAUCUGGUGAGUUGUGCCUCUGUGCGUCGUUGCCCUGCCUCCCCCACCUUUUCUUUUUUUUCUCUCAUUUCGUUUUGUUUUUCCUCGCGCAGGAGCUAUGGCACCAUCGAUAGUCCCUUCCUAUAGCUCCACCGCACCUUGGAGCAUCCACAGGAGCAUUGUCCUCCUCUGAUUUGGGCAGAUCCAAAUCCUCUUUGGAGCUCCCCGACGUCGCCCCGCAAGCCGCACACGUCGUUGCCAACUGCCAAUCGUUCCUGCAUCGAGCGCUGCCCGCCCAUGUUGACCAAACGAGCAGCUCGCACGUGCCUCCUCGCUGUCUUUGCACGUGGGAUGCGCCAACACCAACCCAACCACGUUGGCCUUCUCAAGGCCAACAUCAUGUGCCAUGCAUCACAUUGACCUCGGCUGAAGCCCAGCUAGGUGAGCUCCGAGCCAAAACGCCGCUCAUGAGUAUUGUGUGUUAUCCUGCCCUCAAAUGUGUUAUUGGACGAGGUCGAGAUUAAGCCCAUGUUUUUUUCUUUUGCAACAUGAAUUAGCUAAUUAUCCGGUAACUGCAUAUUUUCAGAAAAAAUCCUCAACUUCAUGCAUUUAAUAUCUCACAAACCAUGCAUUGGAUUAUAAUGAAUUAAAUAUGUAAAGUGCACACAAUUUAAUGUAGAAUAAUAAUAU